GCCCGCCGCCGGCCUGCCCGAACGCUUCAGCUGUCAACGUAGGCAGCACGCGUGCCCGAAUCGCACGCCUAAACGCACGCGUUCCACGCACAAACCGUCCACUCUUGCCUUUCUGCUGGGAAUACUGCCUUCUGCAGGACAGUCAUCAAAAGAUGGCCAGUGAAUUCAUUUUCCAUGACCUCCAGCUGAAGUACUCAACAUUAGUGAAGAGCUCUGGCAGAGAAGGUUGCCUGAGCAUUUCCAUGCCCGAUGCAGCAGUUUUCAGAACUUGGGGUCCAAAUCUUCAGGUUCGGGAUUUGUCUGGAAUUCACUAGCGUGCAGAUUCCGGACCAGGCAGGAUCAGUGCUACAAACCCGCCCCCUCCCUCUCCAAACAAGAAGUGGACAUCUCAAUAAGAAACCGAGCAUGAAAACCUGGAGAGCUAGUAAGGGUUUUAGAAGGCUUUUUUCUUAGCUCAUUAUUAGCAAUUUUUUCCUUCGAUAUGGACUCAAUGUGCAAGUAUAGGAUUUUCCAGUAGAGGGAGUCCAUGUUGUUACAAAGAGAGAAUGUCCCACUGUGGUAAUUGUACACCAAUAAAGGAGAAUAUUUUCUCUCUUUUUUUUUCCAUUAGGU